AUUAAUAAGCGGAGGAAAAGAAACCAACCGGGAUUCCCACAGUAACGGCGAGUGAAGUGGGAUGAGCCCAGCACCGAAUCGCACGCCGUUUGGCGUCGCGAACUGUGGUGUUUAGGACGAGCGCUUGCACGUCGGGACGUUGUCCGAGUCCUCCUGAUCGGGGCUUGCCAGAGCGGGUGUUAGCCCUCUACGGCGACGGACCGGCGUGCCCGCCACGUCCUCGGAGUCGGGUUGUUUGAGAAUGCAGCCCAAAGUUGGUGGUAAACUCCAUCUAAGGCUAAAUACAGUCGCGAGUCCGAUAGCGAACAAGUACCGUGAGGGAAAGUU
rnacentral:rRNA from 1 species